UACGUAGGUGGCAAGCGUUGUCCGGAUUUACUGGGCGUAAAGAGCGCGCAGGCGGUCGUUCAAGUCGCGUGUGAAAGCCCCCGGCUCAACUGGGGAGGGUCACUCGAUACUGAUCGACUUGAAGGCAGGAGAGGGAAGCGGAAUUCCCGGUGUAGUGGUGAAAUGCGUAGAUAUCGGGAGGAACACCAGUGGCGAAGGCGACUACCUGGCCUGUUCUUGACGCUGAGGCGCGAAAGCUAGGGGAGCAAACGGG
rnacentral:rRNA from 1 species